UCUUCGAACAACCUGCUUUUUCGAUGUCAAUGUUGAUCAACUGUCUUUUGAGUUGGUCAAAAUACCGUUGCAACUGUUCGGGCAACUUUCCUGAAGACGUCAAGCCUCACUGAUCGAAGAAGCUCAAGACGGCGUGUUACAUCAUAAUACAUGGUGCUUGGGGACUAGCUGUGGGGGUAUAAACCCCUAUACCCUUACGACUGGACUUGGGCCAGGAGGCUUGGCCCAUUACGAGACGAGUUCAAAGCUUGAUCCGACAACCUGGAGUUCCGCGCAAGGAAACAAGAUGUGGAGAUCAAGCAGGAUUUCUGGUCGGUUAGAAUAGGAAUUGAUAUCGAAUUAUCCAUGGCAAUUGUAACCGACUAGGAUUAGUUUCUAGAUCUGUAACCCUGCCCUCCAGACUAUAUAAGGAGGGGCAAGGGACCCCCUAGGACAGAUGAUCUCUCAACACAAUCCAAUACAACCAGACGCAGGACGUAGGUAUUACGCCAACUCGGCGGCCGAACCUGGAUAAAAAGCUUGUCCGUGUCUUGCGUCACCAUCGAGUUCGUAGUUUGCGCACCGUCAACCGAUAAACUACUACCGUGGGUAUACCCCAAGGUAGACUGCCGACUAGCUUUCGUCGACAGUUUGCUAUCAGUCUUUUGUAAUAAAUGCCUCAAGAUUAAUAAAGAAUAUUAUUAUUAUUAUUAUUAUUAUUAUUAUUAUUAUUAUUAUUAUUAUUAUUAUUAUUAUUAUUAUUAUUAUUAUUAUUAUUAUUAUUAUUAUUAUUAUUAUUAUUAUUAUUAUUAUGUCUUGUGUGUCUCCAUUUUAUUUUUGUAAGAAAGCAGAAAACAAGUAUGGGGGAGAUCCCUCAACAUGUCAAACACACUCCAACUCCACCAUUCAGGUACACACUCUGCACACUUUACUUUACACAUACAUUUAUUCUGGAUUAUGCAGAUUACUGUUUCCGACAUGAUAAAACAAAAGGAUUAAAAUAUUUCUAAUCAUGAUUAAUCUCAAUCUAUGAUAUUUCCUGAAAACUUGCAAUUAUUAUAAAAUCAUUUUAAAACCCUGUGUUACUUAAGUCAAUAUGGAAUAUGUGAUGGUAGAGUAUGAGUUUCUUAUUCUUGAUAUCAUUGUUACUUGGAGAAUUUAUUUCAAAAUAUUCAAAUUUCUAGCUACCAUCCUCAGUGUUUUAUAUGCCUGAUGAAACUGAAAAUAUUAAGUAUGAUUAUAAAAGCUAUCUGCUCUGUAUUGAGUUUGUUCAAAAUGAGUUAGACCCUUGUUGAGAGAUUUAUCAUGCUCCUAAGAUCAAGACAUUAUUUCAGAAAGAUUCACUCUUCCGAAGUAUUAUUGCAUUAGAGGCAUAGACUAUGCAAAAAAAUAGAAAUAUUUCGAGGAAAUAAAAAGGAGCAAGUGCUCGACAACCUCACAGAAAAAAUGGACAAGUGUCCGGCAGUAGAAUUAGGGGUACCUCGGUAUCCACUUAAAAAAAGAAAAAAAAUGAUAGCCCAUGGUCCCUCUAAUAAGCAAUAUGCCAGCAAGAGUUGACAAAGUUUUUAAUUUCCAAAGUCUUUGAUCUAAGAGUAUGACAUUCCCCUCCUCGGAUCCCGUUUUGAUCAGGCAAUAAAUGCAAAGUAAGUAUGCUUGAGAAUUUUUGCAAAUUAAAACAACCUCAGUGAGAUAUAUAUAUAAAAGAUAAUGAGUGAUCUGAGAGAACCUGUGAGGAUCAAAAAGGUAUUCUAACUUUCUUUCAAAAAUAUACAAAAACUCCAAGUGGCAGGAUUGAGAAGAAAGGAUCUUUACUCUUAACCAUAUACUUCCCUGACUACAAUACACAGUGGAUUUUUUACAACCUGCAAUUAUAAAGAGAAUGUUUUAAAUGUUUACCCUAGAUAUUGUUCUUAACCAUCCUUUUCUCGAGGACGAGUAAAAGCCUAAGUAUGGGGGUAUUUGUUGACGGUUCUUAAGUAUCAAUUUUAAUUAUCAAAUAAACAAGAGAAAGGACCAAUAUGCAACCAACACCUAGAAUUAGGGUUUGAUCUAACAGAAUUCCACGAGUUUUGUUGUUUAUCUGUUUCUGCAGGGGGUUAUCAGGAAAUAAGGAAGAAAGGCCCACAUGUCGGGAUUACAUAUAGAUAUUAACGCACCGUGCAAUUUUCUACCAUCUAGAAGACUCCAGAAGCCACGGGAUCGAACGGGAAGGCAAUCGAGCCCGGGGCCAGGCCCAGGGCGCCCCCCCUCUGGAGCCAGAUCAGGACUCUCUUCGCUCGGGAUAUUCCACCGACCUAUUGGAUCAAGAAAAACAUAGUACCACCUCGCCUAUCGACCCAAAAACGCAUAGAAGGGGAGGACUAUAUAAGCAAGGCCCCCCUGGCCCCUGGAGAAGACAUGAAGAAAUUAUCAUAGAAACUGAGGGGUGCCCUCGAAGGAAAACCUCUUCUCUAAUUAAUGUUUCUUUUUAGGCUUAGCAAUCAAUGUAAGGUAGAAAUAGAUCUUCUAGUUUCUACUAGAUUGAGAGCGAUAGAGUGGAGGUGUAGAGUGGAGGAAGCCCGGCC
rnacentral:lncRNA from 1 species